rnacentral:rRNA from 1 species
UACAGAGGUCCCGAGCGUUGUUCGGAUUCACUGGGCGUAAAGGGUGCGUAGGUGGCCUGAAAAGUUUGAUGUGAAAGCUCAGGGCUUAACCCUGAAAUGGCAUUGAAUACUGUUGGGCUGGAGGUUUGGAGGGGGGACUGGAAUUCUUGGUGUAGCAGUGAAAUGCGUAGAUAUCAAGAGGAACACCAGUGGCGAAGGCGAGUCCCUGGACAACACCUGACACUGAGGCACGAAAGCUAGGGGAGCAAACAGG